UACGUAGGUGGCAAGCGUUGUCCGGAUUUAUUGGGCGUAAAGCGCUCGCAGGUGGUUCGUUGCGUCGUGCGUGAAAGACCCCGGCUCAACUGGGGAGGGUCGUGCGAUACGGGCGAACUGGAGGCCAGUAGGGGGAUGCGGAAUUCCGGGUGUAGUGGUGGAAUGCGUAGAGAUCCGGAGGAACACCAGCGGCGAAGGCGGCAUCCUGGACUGGUCCUGACACUCAGGAGCGAAAGCGUGGGGAGCGAUCCGG
rnacentral:rRNA from 1 species